UACGGGGAGUGCAAGCGUUGUUCGGAAUCAUUGGGCGUAAAGCGCGUGUAGGCGGCCCGGUAAGUCUGAAGUGAAAGCCCUCGGCCCAACCGAGGAAGUGCUUUGGAAACUACCGAGCUUGAAUCCUGGAGGGGCGAGUGGAAUUCCCAGUGUAGAGGUGAAAUUCGUAGAUAUUGGGAGGAACACCGGUGGCGAAGGCGGCUUGCUGGACAGUGAUUGACGCUGAGACGCGAAAGCGUGGGGAGCAAACAGG
rnacentral:misc_RNA from 1 species